rnacentral:snRNA from 1 species
AUACUUAUCUGGCAGGGGAGACACCGUGAUCAAGAAGGUGGUUCACCCAAGGUACUUAACGGCUGUUCUGGUUUAGAGUAUUAAACAGAACAACGAUGGCGGUCUCUUUGGUGUGACAGAAUACAGUCUGUU